rnacentral:rRNA from 1 species
GUAGUCCACGCCGUAAACGAUGAUGACUGGACCGGUGCGGGUCUUACCCCGUAUCGGUCGAAGCGAAAGCGUUAAGUCAUCCGCCUGGGAAGUACGGUCGCAAGACUAAAACUCAAAUGAAUUGACGGGGGCUCACACAAGCGGUGGAGCAUGUUGCUUAAUUCGAGGCAACGCGAAGAACCUUACCUGGGUUUGACAUGUACGGAUCAACUCUAUGAAAGUAGAGCCACAAUCGCAAGAUCGGAACGUGCACAGGUGCUGCAUGGCUGUCGUCAGCUCGUGCUGUGAAGUGUCGGGUUAAGUCCCUUAACGAGCGCAACCCCUAUCGUUAGUUGCCACCAGGUCAUGCUGAGCACUCUAACGAGACUGCCGGCGUUAAGCCGGA